rnacentral:rRNA from 1 species
GAUCCUGGCUCAGGAUGAACGCUAGCUACUGGCUUAACACAUGCAAGUCGAGGGGCAGCGGGAUUGAAGCUUGCUUCAAUUGCCGGCGACCGGCGCACGGGUGAGUAACGCGUAUCCAACCUUUCCGUACACUCAGGGAUAGCCUUUCGAAAGAAAGAUUAAUACCUGAUGGUAUGAUGAGAUUGCAUGAUAGCAUCAUUAAAGAUUUAUCGGUGUACGAUGGGGAUGCGUUCCAUUAGGUAGUAGGCGGGGUAACGGCCCACCUAGCCAACGAUGGAUAGGGGUUCUGAGAGGAAGGUCCCCCACAUUGGAACUGAGACACGGUCCAAACUCCUACGGGAGGCAGCAGUGAGGAAUAUUGGUCAAUGGACGAGAGUCUGAACCAGCCAAGUAGCGUGAAGGAUGAAGGUCCUACGGAUUGUAAACUUCUUUUAUAAGGGAAUAAACCCUCCCACGUGUGGGAGCUUGUAUGUACCUUAUGAAUAAGCAUCGGCUAACUCCGUGCCAGCAGCCGCGGUAAUACGGAGGAUGCGAGCGUUAUCCGGAUUUAUUGGGUUUAAAGGGAGCGCAGACGGGUCGUUAAGUCAGCUGUGAAAGUUUGGGGCUCAACCUUAAAAUUGCAGUUGAUACUGGCGUCCUUGAGUGCGGUUGAGGUGUGCGGAAUUCGUGGUGUAGCGGUGAAAUGCUUAGAUAUCACGAAGAACUCCGAUUGCGAAGGCAGCACACUAAUCCGUAACUGACGUUCAUGCUCGAAAGUGUGGGUAUCAAACAGGAUUAGAUACCCUGGUAGUCCACACGGUAAACGAUGGAUACUCGCUGUUGGCGAUAUACUGUCAGCGGCUUAGCGAAAGCGUUAAGUAUCCCACCU